rnacentral:rRNA from 1 species
CGUAAUAGCUCACUAGUCGAGUCGGCCUGCGCGGAAGAUGUAACGGGGCUCAAACUGGAUACCGAAGCUGCGGCUGCAUACUAUGUAUGCGGGGUAGGGGAGCGUUGUGUAAGUCUGUGAAGGUGUGUUGAGAAGCAUGCUGGAGAUAUCACAAGUGCGAAUGCUGACGUGAGUAACGAUAAUGGGAGUGAAAAACUCCCACGCCGAAAGACCAAGGUUUCCUGCGCAACGCUAAUCGGCGCAGGGUGAGUCGGCCCCUAAGGCGAGGCAGAAAUGCGUAGCUGAUGGGAAACAGGUUAAUAUUCCUGUACUUCUUAUAACUGCGAUGGAGAGACGGAGAAGGCUAUGCCUACCGGGCGUUGGUUGUCCCGGGGAAAGGCUGUAGGCUGAGGUGUUAGGCAAAUCCGGCACCUUAAGGCUGAGAGUCGAGACCACUGGUCCUUUGUGACCGGGAAGUGGUUGAUGCCAUGCUUCCAGGAAAAUCUUCUAAGCUUCAGGUUAUAAGGAACCGUACCCCAAACCGACACAGGUGGUUGGGAUGAGUAUUCUAAGGCGCUUGAGAGAACUCGGGUGAAGGAACUAGGCAAAGUGGUACCGUAACUUCGGGAGAAGGUACGCCGCUGACGGUGAUGAGACUUGCUCUCUGAGCUAUCGGCGGUCGCAGUGAAAAGGCCCCUGCAACUGUUUAUUAAAAACACAGCACUCUGCAAACGCGUAAGCGGACGUAUAGGGUGUGACGCCUGCCCGGUGCCGGAAGGUUAAUUGAUGGGGUUAGCUUCGGCGAAGCUCUUGAUCGAAGCCCCGGUAAACGGCGGCCGUAACUAUAACGGUCCUAAGGUAGCGAAAUUCCUUGUCGGGUAAGUUCCGACCUGCACGAAUGGCGUAAUGAUGGGGGCGCUGUCUCCACCCGAGACUCAGUGAAAUCGAAAUCGCAGUGAAGAUGCUGUGUACCCGCGGCUAGACGGAAAGACCCCGUGAACCUUUACUAUAGCUUCACAGUGGACUUUGAACCUGUUUGUGUAGGAUAGCUGGGAGACUUUGAAGCAGUGACGCUAGUCAUUGUGGAGUCGUCCUUGAAAUACCAGCCUGGCAUGUUUGAGGUUCUAACCUGGGUCCCUUAUCGGGAUCGGGGACAUUGUGUGGUGGGUAGUUUGACUGGGGCGGUCUCCUCCCAAAGAGUAACGGAGGAGCACAAAGGUACCCUCAGCACGGUCGGACAUCGUGCAACGAGCGUAAAGGUAGAAGGGUGCUUGACUGCGAGACCUACAAGUCGAGCAGGUGCGAAAGCAGGUCUUAGUGAUCCGGUGGUUCUGUAUGGAAGGGCCAUCGCUCAACGGAUAAAAGGUACUCCGGGGAUAACAGGCUGAUA